rnacentral:rRNA from 1 species
GAUGAACGCUGGCGGCGUGCCUAAUACAUGCAAGUCGAGCGAAGCGGGCACGGGUGAGUAACACGUGGAUAACCUCCUAUAAGACUGGGAUAACUUCGGGAAACCGGAGCUAAACCGGAUACUUAUACAUGAAUCCGCGCGGCAUUAGCUAGUUGGUAAGGUAACGGCUUACCAAGGCAACGAUGCAUAGCCGACCUGAGAGGGUGAUCGGCCACACUGGAACUGAGACACGGUCCAGACUCCUACGGGAGGCAGCAGUAGGGAAUCUUCCGCAAUGGGCGAAAGCCUGACGGAGCAACGCCGCGUGAGUGAUGAAGGUCUUCGGAUCGUAAAACUCUGUUAGUAGGGAAGCGGUACUUAAACAGAAAGCCACGGCUAACUACGUGCCAGCAGCCGCGGUAAUAC